rnacentral:rRNA from 1 species
GAUGAACGCUGACAGAAUGCUUAACACAUGCAAGUCAACUUGAACUUCGGUUUGGGUGGCGGACGGGUGAGUAACGCGUAAAGAACUUGCCUCACAGUUAGGGACAACAUUUGGAAACGAAUGCUAAUACCUGAUAUUAUGAUUUUAGGGCAUCCUAGAAUUAUGAAAGCUAUAUGCGCUGUGAGAGAGCUUUGCGUCCCAUUAGCUAGUUGGAGAGGUAACGGCUCACCAAGGCGAUGAUGGGUAGCCGGCCUGAGAGGGUGAACGGCCACAAGGGGACUGAGACACGGCCCUUACUCCUACGGGAGGCAGCAGUGGGGAAUAUUGGACAAUGGACCAAGAGUCUGAUCCAGCAAUUCUGUGUGCACGAUGAAGUUUUUCGGAAUGUAAAGUGCUUUCAGUUGGGAAGAAAAAAUGACGAUACCAACAGAAGAAGUGACGGCUAAAUACGUG